rnacentral:rRNA from 1 species
UCUAGAGUUAGAGUUUGAUCCUGGCUCAGAUUGAACGCUGGCGGCAGGCCUAACACAUGCAAGUCGAGCGGAUGAAGGGAGCUUGCUCCUGGAUUCAGCGGCGGACGGUGAGUAAUGCCUAGGAAUCUGCCUGGUAGUGGGGGAUAACGUCCGGAAACGGGCGCUAAUACCGCAUACGUCCUGAGGGAGAAAGUGGGGGAUCUUCGGACCUCACGCUAUCAGAUGAGCCUAGGUCGGAUUAGCUAGUUGGUGGGGUAAAGGCCUACCAAGGCGACGAUCCGUAACUGGUCUGAGAGGAUGAUCAGUCACACUGGAACUGAGACACGGUCCAGACUCCUACGGGAGGCAGCAGUGGGGAAUAUUGGACAAUGGGCGAAAGCCUGAUCCAGCCAUGCCGCGUGUGUGAAGAAGGUCUUCGGAUUGUAAAGCACUUUAAGUUGGGAGGAAGGGCAGUAAGUUAAUACCUUGCUGUUUUGACGUUACCAACAGAAUAAGCACCGGCUAACUUCGUGCCAGCAGCCGCGGUAAUACGAAGGGUGCAAGCGUUAAUCGGAAUUACUGGGCGUAAAGCGCGCGUAGGUGGUUCAGCAAGUUGGAUGUGAAAUCCCCGGGCUCAACCUGGGAACUGCAUCCAAAACUACUGAGCUAGAGUACGGUAGAGGGUGGUGGAAUUUCCUGUGUAGCGGUGAAAUGCGUAGAUAUAGGAAGGAACACCAGUGGCGAAGGCGACCACCUGGACUGAUACUGACACUGAGGUGCGAAAGCGUGGGGAGCAAACAGGAUUAGAUACCCUGGUAGUCCACGCCGUAAACGAUGUCGACUAGCCGUUGGGAUCCUUGAGAUCUUAGUGGCGCAGCUAACGCGAUAAGUCGACCGCCUGGGGAGUACGGCCGCAAGGUUAAAACUCAAAUGAAUUGACGGGGGCCCGCACAAGCGGUGGAACAUGUGGUUUAAUUCCAAGCAACGCGAAGAACCUUACCUGGCCUUGAAAUGCUGGAGAAUUUUCCA